AGUGCUGUCUCUCUCUCUCUCUCUCUCUCAAAAAUAAACAUUAAAAAAAAAAAAAAAAGAAGAGAAAAUGUAGUAAUAUAAUGGAUGACUAGGGAGGCUGCUUACCAUUUUUUUAAACCAAUGUUAUUGAAGCAAAAUUUAUAUUAAACAAAAUGCACCCUUUUAACUAUAAAGUUUGAUGAGUUUUGACUUAGGAAUAUACCUGUGCAACCACCACCAGUCAAGAUAUAGGACGUUUCUCUUAUCCAGAAAAAUCUCCCUGGUGCCUCUUUGGGGUUAACCCAUCCUCCUUUCUGCCCUGGCUCCAGACAACCACUGGUGUGCUUUGUGUCCUUAUAGAUUUGUUUUGAGGUUACUUAUUUUUAAAGAAGAUCACUUUUACUGCCUUUGGGGAAUUAAUUGGAAUGAACCUGGUUGGAGGGAUACAAGAGGAGCAAGACUAGAGAUGAUGAGAGAAAUGUACCAAUAAGAUAAUAGAAAUAGAAAUAAUUAGCCUUUCUUGGACAGGACUCAGUCCCAAGCACUAAGUGUUUUAAGUGCUUAGUGUUUUAAUUUUCAUUCAAUCUCCAUAGCAAGCACUAUGAGGUUACCUCUAUCGUAUAGAGGAGGAAGCUUCAGAAAAGUUAGUGACUUGCACAAGAUUACACAGCUAGUGAGUGGUGGUUGGGAUCCAAGCACCUGUGGUUCCCCACACACUGCAAUGGCGCACGCUUACCCAGUGCUCACUAUAUGCCAUGCACUGUUCUAAACACUUUAACCUGCACAAGAACCUUCAUGGGUUCCAGUUUUAAUGAGAGGAAACUAGAGGCCCGAAGAGAAUAAUCACAUACUCUAUGAGCAACUGGCAGAGCAAGUCCUUCAAGUUCUAAAAUCCUAUUCUUUGAAUGUGUCAUUGCUUAUUUCAACUCAGGGUACAUCCCUGUACACAAUUUGCAGCAGGGUUUUCUAGCCAGCAGCUCUGAUGAGGCUUGCUUCUUUUUCCAUGAACCUUCUGAAACCUCUCCUAACCAGCCUGGCUUGGGCCUGUCUUCUGGCUCUUUCCCUGUGAAGGUGGAGGAGCCUCUGCCCUCCAUGACCUCCUCUUCUAUAGGACAUGCCUGAGGCUCAGCAAGCUCUCUGAUCUCCAAUGAACCCCAACCCAAAAGCGAGGGGAGGUGGGAGGAGAGAACACAAUCCAAAAUAUUAUGGGGCUGGCUGGUCCCUGAACUAUUGCCCGGCCAGAUCAUUUGAGACAUUCUUGAACAACAAAAGUAUAAACACUGCAUCUGGAUCAGAACAAAUGGACACAGAGAAUUGUAAUGCCAAACUUGGAACAACAAACAAAAUGUUGCUUUAGGAAUUUCUGGCAGAGGAGCAGGAAGUAUAAGGAUUUUUUAAAUUGUGUAUGUGUGUGUUUUAAUAGUCAGGGCUUCAAGUUUCAACUAGGACAUGAAAAUAAACUGCAAGUAAACAAUUUCAAGGGCAGAAUUGAGACUCCACUUAGAAGUCUUGUGUAAUCCACUGUCUUGUGUAAUUUCAAGAGGGCUUUGAAAUAAGGAGGGGAAUGCCAACUCUUCUAAAUUUGCCAGGAAAGGAGAGGUCUGAAUUUCUCCUCGUGAAGAAUGAGGAGUACCCUCCCCCCAUUUGGCUCCACCACCUUCUGCUCCUGUACCAAGAGAGGCAGGCGAUGGGUUAGCCACCUCCAAGACAACUGUGACUUAAUUGUGAUGUGUGACUUGGGCUUUGGGAACCUGCUGGCCAGACAGCAUGACCUGCGAGGCUUGAGGGUGUGGGCUGCGUGUCAGGAGAAGAGGAUCCAGCAGCUGAGAGGCCAGACAUCAGAGAGGCUGGAGGCAGUCGUCCUAGAUGUCACUAAGAGAGCAACACUGAAGCUACCCAGUGGGUGAAGGAGUAUGUGGGGACAGAGGAAUGAUAUAAUUUCUCUUCCUCUAGAUGUCCUCUUAUUCCAAGUACUAGUCCCAUGAGAAGAUGACACCAGCCUACUAAAUAAGAGAGAGACACUAACAAGUUAUAAAAUUUGCUCUUAAUUAUCUACUCUGACAGAAAAGAACAGUGAUCUGGAUCUAAGACAGCAGGGUCCUGUGUGCCAACAUCUUUAGGGUUUCAUUGGUGUUUUCUCCAUUAUCUACACUGGAAUGUUCCUGGACAGAGCUGGGAACCCAACCCUUCAAUGUGCUACCUAGAAUUGCACAAUGGGGUAGCCUUACUCAGCUAACCAAAAACUUGUUCUGUGGGAUACUAACUAGAAUUUGCAAAAUCUCUUCUUAACAAAUGUUUAUCACACCCUCCUUCAA